CAGUCGCCACGGUAAUGCGAAGGGUGCAAGCGUUAAUCGGAAUUACUGGGCGUAAAGCGUGCGUAGGCGGUUUGUUAAGUCUGUUGUGAAAUCCCCGGGCUCAACCUGGGAAUGGCAAUGGAUACUGGCAAGCUAGAGUGUGUCAGAGGAUGGUGGAAUUCCCGGUGUAGCGGUGAAAUGCGUAGAGAUCGGGAGGAACAUCAGUGGCGAAGGCGGCCAUCUGGGACAACACUGACGCUGAGGCACGAAAGCGUGGGGAGCAAACAGGAUUAGAUACCCCUGUAGUCCCUGUCUCUUAUAC
rnacentral:rRNA from 1 species